CCGACAAAAGCAAAAAACUAGCCUUUUCAAAUUGUCAAUCAUUGUCAUGUCAUUUACAAUUUACACAAUUCAAUGUUCUAGCAGGUUUUUUAUGCAAAAUCCCUUCCCUAAUUAAAAAUUAAUAACAUUUGGCGUUGAGCCUUCAAAGUUUGAUGGAUCCCUGGGGUUGUGAAAUUGUAGACUCAACAGUUGCUUCAGAAUUCGAAGACGAUUUUAAACCAGAGAAGUGUGAUAAGUUAUCAGAUUCAGCAGAAUAUCUUGCAGUACUGGAAAGGAAACUUAAGGCCCUUAAGAAGAAGAAUAAAGUUGUUGAAAAUCUAGCAGCAUACAGAGCUGAUUGUAUUGACAGAUUAAUGAGAGAAGGCUGUGACUUAGACCCUGUAAUUGGAGACACUGAAGCAGAGAAGCUGUUGCAGGAGUGACUUGUUGAUUAAAACUUUAUGUUUCCAGAAUGGCGGGUAGGAAAGGUUUAUUCAUUUUCCUAAUGAACUUGGCUUGGAAGUGUCGAUUCAGCAUGCCGCUGCUGCUCAGUGGUACCGUAGCACUUCUCGGUCAAGCUUGGAUGUUCCAAAUAAGAGUCCAUACUGUAAAUAGGUUACAUGAAAAUGAGCUGGCAUAUUACAAUGAAAAUGACUUAGAUGACGACGAUUCCUGGGAGACAGAGUCGACAGAUUCUUGGGAAACCAUAGUGGAAGAGGUUGCUUACGGUUGACAGUUGAUAAACAUGUGCUUUAUUAUAUGUUAAAUUUGAAUAUUGAAUUCGAAACACAUCUUAGCAAAAUAACUGGGUGAAUGAAACUUAAGUCUAGAUAUGCUCAAUGUCUAAAUGAGUGGACCGAGUUUGUGGCCAAUAUCUUAAUUCUAAUGUAAUUCGAUUAAAUUAUAUCCAAGUUAGUUUAUCAUAAUAAAAUAUUAUUUCAAUAAAUAAUCGUCAUUAUUAUAUAAGUAAAAAUAAAAACCAUACGAAAAUAAUUGUUAUGUUGCAUAGCAGAAAUUAAAAAAAAAUUAUAAGUACAAAUAAUAAACAAUAAUAAUAAUUUCUAAUAAUAUACUUAAAUAUAUAUUAUAUGAAUAAAAAAAUAUUUUUUAUAGCUUUGGCUCAUUGACUAAAUUGUUAAUAAAUUAAAAUUAGCGUUUUCUGCAACUUUUUUUAUGUUUUUAUUAGACAAUAGCUUUAAUAUCUGUAAUUCAGGAUCGAACUUGUGAUAUUGUCCCGCAAGAGAGUUGGUUCCUCCUGACUGGCCUAGGUCAGUCUGGGUACGGGCCUUGGGGUUGCCCCCUUUACCCGGGCUGGUCCUCACCGAAAAGUUGACUUGUCGUGUCUAGUUCGUUUUGGCCCAAAGGGCCAGGGACUUGUCCCGCCAAUGGACUUGUUGUUGUUUGUUCUUGAAUUCGCCGCGAGAGGCGCUAGUGGAUGGCAGUCUCUAGAAAUGUCAAAUGUCUUAUUUUUUAAUAAUUUUUCGUCGAAGAUAUUCAAUAAUUAUUCAUGAUUGUUGUUAAGUUUUGUAUCAUUCCUGAUUAAUUUUGUCAAGCAUACGUUAAACCACUGUUUUAGGCGAGUAUUGUCUUUCGCAAAGUAUGUCCUCCGUUAUUUUUGCAAAAAAAAAAACGGGUCACAACAACACAGAGGUAUUAUAUAUAUUUUAUUUAUUUACCUAUUAUCAAUUAUUUAAAAUAAAACAAAAUUUAUGAACGCAAUAGAACCUUACUCGCUAGUGACACCAACUGGUGUUACCAGAAACGAUUGCCUUCAUUUUAACAUAUAGUUAUUAACUACUUGACAUUUGGUCAUUAUAUAUUCUGUGACUAUAAAGGCCUUAUAAAACUGUUGAUACUAUAUCAGAGAUUCAAUAACACGAACGGAUAAGUUAAAUUUAUAACUAAAAAUAAAUUACGAAUACUCAAUUAUCGCAGUAUUGAGUUUGUUAAAAUAUAAUAUUAUAUAGUAUAAUUAGUAUAUUUUUUCAUUUCAUCUAUUAUACUGUAAAGUACAUAUAUAUCCGAGUUGUAAUAAAAAAAGCCAAUAGCAUACCUUAGAUCGUGGAAAUUUUCUUAUUAUUUACCAAAAAUGGUUAACCAAAUAUCUUUGCUUUACAUAUUCGAAAAAUGAUUUUAAUUGAGAGGUAGGCCAGAUGUUUCAUUUCCAUUAACAGCUUUUUAAUAAGUAACUUUUUUUUAUUUGAGAGUCAAAUUGCGCGAAUAGAUACACGAAUAUGAAUAUCAAUUAUUUCGAAAAUGAAUAAGUUAAUAUGAAAAAUUAUGUCACUACUCACAUGAUAAGUGGUAGUCCAAAUAAUUUCAAUAAUAAAUGAUUUACUUUGAAAGAGUCAAAAUUUAACACCGAAAAUAUCUAAGGUCAUGGGUAAGUGCUAAUUAAUUUAAACACUCUAGGAUAUUCAAUAUAUUUUGAUGUUAUCACGAAGUAUAAAAGUAGCUUGUGCAAACACACACAUUUUUUCACAUAUAGAGAACUAUAAAUGAAUAAAGAUAUUUCCACCUCUGCAACAAAGAAUAAUGUAUAGCAACAAUGCUCAAACAUCAAGCAAGUAUUUUAAUUAUAAGUUUUUUUAAUUAUACUCUUGUGAUUUAUAAUAAAUGUAGCCGAAACUAAGGAAUAAAUUGCUGUCAUGGCGUAAUCGUAUAAUCGGACAUCGUAAUUCAAGCCUAAAUAUAUUUAGUUAGUUCAAUCCACAAAGACGCGCCCCACUAUUAAUGCUUACUCACAAUGUAUCACAUUAGUAAAGACAAACCUGCUUUAAAGAUAUCUCGAGAGUGUGACAGGGAUUUCAAUAGUUUUUUUAAUUGCCUCGAAGGGUUGACCUAUGGAGCCAUCAAGGCAAUCAUGUAUCGCUUCAACGCAAACAGAGAAACUGUUUUUAAAGCUUUGUAUAAAAAUGAAAAUUUGGAUGAACUUUUAUUUUUGCAUAGUGAAUGUAGUUUUCUAAUUUUUUUAUGUAUUAAAAUUGUAUUACUAUUUUAUUCUAAAUUCAUCACCAUGUUUUUUUUUUAAUUAUUAAAAAAAUAUCAUAUAUAUAUUUCAUAUACCUACCUAUUUAAUAUAAAAUUAUAUAAUAUA